rnacentral:tRNA from 3 species
UGCCUGGUAGCUCACCUGGUGAGAGCGCCGCUCUGAUAAGGCGGAGGUAGAGGGUUCAAGUCCCUUCCAGGCAACCA